UUAAGUUGUGUUGUUGGCAGCAAUUUUGAAUUUAUUCGCUAUUGAGAUCACGUUUUACAGAGUGAGGGAGAGUAAUAAUACCUUUCUUGAAAUUUAAAGUAAUAUUAGAAAUUAUUUAACGUUAACGUGACAUAGAUUUUUAAAUAUGAGUAACUUCCACUCUCCUAUGAAAUGUAUAUCUCCCAAUGCGAGAAUUUUAACGCCGAAGCCACAAGUACAGCAGUUAUUGGACAUGCGGCAAAUACAAAGCAAAGCUCGCAGUAGUAUCAUUUGGUUUUUAAUCAACGGCGUGUUACUUAGCAUCAUAAUUUUUGAUUUAUUCUAUGGUGGAUUUACAUACAAACCAUUUUAUUAUAUUGAAUGGUGUCUAGCGUUGAUAUUUGUUUUAAAUGCUUUAUACCAUAUUAUUCAAUAUAUUUGGGCCAUUCUAAGUUUAAAGCCAAUUACACUAGAUCCUAAACAAAGGCCACUUUUAGGAGUCUCGGAGGAUGAUCCUCUGUUUAAAUAUGAGACGCCUAAGAAGCAAAUGACUCCAGAGCCAAGUCCUUCAUUGAAUAUAUCUAGCAUUGGUCUUGGCAGACGUUCGGCAACUCUUGGAUCUUCAGUUCUGAGUGACAUGAAGGAUUAUUCAACUUCAAUCCCAUUUCUUAAAUGUACUACUUCUGCAUCCUCUAAAGUGACCAUGUGCUCUAAUGGAUCAGCCAACAGAUCCAUGAAUAUUUCUUUAAGUAGUAACUUGACAAACGAAGAUAUCAUUCAGGAUGAGUGUGAAUUGGAGAAUUAUCUCAAAGAAAUUGAGCACAAGAGAAAAUGUGCACUAUCUACAAAUGUCGAUCAACCCUCCAAUCUUUUGAGCUCCUUCUGGUCUCAUCCUGCCACUCGAAGUCCUGGUGAAGUAUCACCAUUGUUAAGAAGAUGUGCUUACCAACUUGCACCUACUAUAGAUAAAAUUAAAGCAACGAGUCCUGCGGAGGAAGGAAGUUCUUCCAGAGACACAUUUGGUGCACCAGAUGUAUGGAGAAAAUACAGAAUCGAUUCCAAUAAAGUAAAUGAAUGGACUGCCAAUCUUCGGAUGUGGAUCAGCAAAACAGUUGUAGAACGCGUGGCUUUGGAAAUAGAUAGUAUAUGUGUAACAUUAAUACGCCACGGACUGAGUGAUUCGCAGCCUGGUCAUGUAGGAUUGGAUAGACUCAGGAAACUUGCACAAGCGCAAUUUUUGGUUUGUGUGAUUCCAACUCUGCCUACAUUGGUUCCUUUUCUGGAACUCUCGAAUAAUCAGGAAUAUCUCGUAAAAAGAAUAAAAACACUUGCAAAAGGAGGAUCUAUGAGUGAGUUUAAAUGGAACGGAGGUGGAUCUCACAACGGUAAAGAAUGGGAUUCCAGCCUGCCAACAGAUUCCGCGAUAAUAAUGCAUUUAAUUGCAACUUAUAUGGAUACACAAUUGGAAGCACCCUUGGAUCAACCGGACGCCAGACCAUUUACAUCGAGAUAUAUGGCAAGAUCUGGUAUGGAACUCCCGCGAAGUAAAGGUCCAAUAAUAGUCUGUCAGUCCAUAAAUCCGCCGCACUAUAACUUGGCACUAUCUGGUGAUUCUCUCCCAAGUGAUUACGAGGAAGUACAACGGGGACGCAAUAAUUUGUUUCAUACACUUUUACUAUUUUUGUAUAUACUCAAAUCGCGAAAUCAUGGUAUGUUAGGACGAGUUAACGCAGGAUCAUCCGGAAUUAAUAUCUUGUGGGUCAUAGACAGUUGAAACAAAGCGACCUUUUUAUUUGCUAUCUAGCAAAAAUAGAAGGAAAAAAAGAAGAUAUGAUUGUGACUUGUACAAUGGAAUCAAAUGGACAGCUAUAAGACUCUAUUUGAAGAUAUUAGGGAUUUCAUGAUCCCUAACUACAAGUCUCCUUGUAAUUCUUCAUUUAAGACUUCCGCUGGUUCACUGCAUCUAUCUUAAAUUGAAAAAUAUUUUAUUUUGCAAGAAUUUCUGUUUUGCUUCUAAUAUUAUCAAUCUUAUCUUAAUGGCUACAUUAAGCCAACAAAAAUUUUAAACGAAGCAAUUUACGUAUAUAAUACGUACGUCAUUCUUGCCAAAAUCUUGUCAACAUUGACAACAGCUUAAUAAAAAAUAUAUACAUAAUUUUUCUAUUUUUGCAUCAAGAUAAAAAUUUGUAUAUAUCCGUGCUAAAUAGUCUUAUAAAUGUGCAAACACGCUGCAAUAAAAAAAUAUAUUUACAUUCUUUCUUAUCAGUUAGUAAAAAAUCAUUUAAUCAUUGAUAUUACAACUUUGCAUAAAGAUCUUGAAUAUUAUUAUUAUUGAUUAUUUCAGUUUUCUUUGAUAUCUGAUAAGAGAAGAUAUAGAAAAAGGUUUAAUAAUAUAUGUAAGCUGUUUUUUCCAUUAUUUUCCUUAUUAAUUCAUUGAAACAUUCGACAUAGAGUAAAUGAUAUUUGUGAACAAAGUUUUCUAUAAUUUAUUAUAUUACUCUUUGGAUAAUGCAUUGUAAAACUACAAAGAAUUUCUUCAGCUCGAAUUAACAUAUAUAAUGAAAUAUAUCAAUAUAGUAAGUUUAAUAACUCUAAUACCACAAACCAUAAGAUUAGAACAAAUACUUUAUUUAUUACAACAAAAUCUAAAUAAGAAAUCAUGUCUCACAUACAUAUAACAAUGCUUAUGGUAUAUUUAUACAUGUAGUUCAGUUCCGUACUAAUUUUACAAUUGUUACGCAGACACGAAUUAUUGUUAUUAUUAUUAUAUGUAAGAGCACGUCGCAUGAAACUUACUUAUUAUAAAAUUUAUAAUUUUUGAAACCUUUGUCAUUUCGUUUAUCAUACGCUUUAGUGGAAACAAAAUUACUAAAUUGUAUAGAAUUUUGUACGAAGAACUGUUUGUUGUAAAUAUAACAGAUAUGCGAACUAAA